rnacentral:rRNA from 1 species
UACAGAGGGUGCGAGCGUUAAUCGGAAUUACUGGGCGUAAAGCGCACGUAGGUGGCGACGUAAGUCGGGUGUGAAAUCCCCGAGCUCAACUCGGGAACUGCGUCCGAUACUGGUGGGCUUGAAUCCGGGAGAGGGAUGCGGAAUUCCAGGUGUAGCGGUGAAAUGCGUAGAUAUCUGGAGGAACACCGGUGGCGAAGGCGGCAUCCUGGACCGGCAUUGACGCUGAGGCGCGAAAGCUAGGGGAGCAAACGGG